rnacentral:rRNA from 1 species
AUUGAACGCUGGCGGCAGGCCUAACACAUGCAAGUCGAGCGGAGCGGCGGACGGGGGAGUAAUGCCUAGGAAUCUGCCUGGUAGUGGUGGAUAACGUCCGGAAACGGGCGCGAAUACCACAUACUAUCAGAUGAGCCUAGGUCGGCUUAGCUAGUGGGUGGGGAAAAGGCCUACCAGGGCGACGAUCCGUAACUGGUCUGAGAGGAUGAUCAGCCACACUGGAACUGAGACACGGUCCAGACUCCUACGGGAGGCAGCAGUGGGGAAUAUUGGGCAAUGGGCGAAAGCCUGAUCCAGCAAUGCCGCGUGUGUGAAGAAGGUCUUCGGAUUGUAAAGCACUGUAAGUUGGGAGGCGUUACCAACAGAGUAAGCACCGGCUAACUUCGUGCCAGCCGCCGCGGUAAUAC